CUAAGGGGUGUAGGAUCUUUG
rnacentral:siRNA from 1 species